CCUACGGGUGGCAGCAGUAGGGAAUAUUGCUCAAUGGGGGAAACCCUGAAGCAGCAACGCCGCGUGGAGGAUGAAGGUUUUCGGAUUGUAAACUCCUUUUGUUAGAGAAGAUAAUGACGGUAUCUAACGAAUAAGCACCGGAUAACUCCGUGCCAGCAGCCGCGGUAAUACGGAGGGUGCAAGCGUUACUCGGAAUCACUGGGCGUAAAGAGCGCGUAGGCGGGAUAGCAAGUCAGAUGUGAAAUCCUAGGGCUUAACCAUAGAACUGCAUUUGAAACUGUUAUUCUAGAGUAUGGGAGAGGUAGGUGGAAUUCUUGGUGUAGGGGUAAAAUCCGUAGAGAUCAAGAGGAAUACUCAUUGCGAAGGCGACCUGCUAGAACAUAACUGACGCUGAGGCGCGAAAGCGUGGGGAGCAAACAGGAUUAGAUACCCCAGUAGUC
rnacentral:rRNA from 1 species